UAGGGAAUCUUCCACAAUGGGCGAAAGCCUGAUGGAGCAACGCCGCGUGUGUGAUGAAGGGUUUCGGCUCGUAAAACACUGUUGUAAGAGAAGAAUGACAUUGAGAGUAACUGUUCAAUGUGUGACGGUAUCUUACCAGAAAGGAACGGCUAAAUACGUGCCAGCACGCG
rnacentral:rRNA from 1 species